rnacentral:rRNA from 1 species
UGGGGAAUAUUGGACAAUGGGGGAAACCCUGAUCCAGCAAUGCCGCGUGAGUGAAGAAGGCCUUAGGGUUGUAAAGCUCUUUCGCCCGUGACGAUGAUGACGGUAACGGGAGAAGAAGCACCGGCUAAUUCCGUGCCAGCAGCCGCGGUAAUACGGAAGGGGCUAGCGUUGUUCGGAUUUACUGGGCGUAAAGCGCAUGUAGGCGGCGGAUCAAGUGGGGCGUGAAAGGCCUGGGCUCAACCUGGGAACUGCGCUUCAGACUGGUUGGCUCG